CUUCAUUUACAGCAACAGGAAUCAUUUGAAUUCUUUGAGAUGGGACGAGGCAGAGUUUUGAGUUACUUUGCUCUCGCGAUGUUCAUUCAAUAUUCCUGCAGUCAGACACUGAUCGAGUCUGAAUCAGUGAUCAUCAAACCUGAUCAGUCUCAUAAACUGACCUGCACAGCUUCUGGAUUUAACUUUGGGAGCUCCUGGAUGGCUUGGAUCAGACAGGCUCCUGGAAAAGGGCUGGAAUUUGUUGCAACUAUAGAGUAUGAUAGUGAUAGGAAGUUUUUCUCCAGUGCAGUUAAUGGCCGCUUCACCAUCUCCAGAGACAACAGUCAGAAGCAGGUGUAUCUGCACAUGAACAGCGUGAGGACAGAAGACACAGCUGUGUAUUACUGCCUACUACGGUACAUGCACUGGAUCCGUCAGAAACCAGGACGAGGACUGGAGUGGAUCUGGCGCAUUGAUUAUGGCACUGGCACGAUAUUUCCUCCAUCUCUGCAGGGCCAGUUCUCCAUCACUAAAGACACCAAUAAAAACAUGCCUCUCUAUCUACUGCAAGUGAGACAAAUUAACAACAUCCCUGUACAAAAACACCUCAUACAGUGUCCAGUGUAA